rnacentral:rRNA from 1 species
UACGUAGGGUGCGAGCGUUAAUCGGAAUUACUGGGCGUAAAGCGUGCGCAGGCGGUGAUGUAAGACAGAUGUGAAAUCCCCGGGCUCAACCUGGGAACUGCAUUUGUGACUGCAUCGCUGGAGUGCGGCAGAGGGGGGGAUGGAAUUCCGCGUGUAGCAGUGAAAUGCGUAGAUAUGCGGAGGAACACCGAUGGCGAAGGCAAUCCCCUGGGCCUGCACUGACGCUCAUGCACGAAAGCGUGGGGAGCAAACAGG